rnacentral:rRNA from 1 species
CACGUAGGGGGCGAGCGUUGUCCGGAUUUAUUGGGCGUAAAGAGCUCGUAGGCGGCUCGGUAAGUGAGGUGUGAAAACUCCAGGCUCAACCUGGAGACGCCACCUCAUACUGCUGUGGCUAGAGUCCGGUAGGGGAGCAUGGAAUUCCUGGUGUAGCGGUGAAAUGCGCAGAUAUCAGGAGGAACACCAGUGGCGAAGGCGGUGCUCUGGGCCGGAACUGACGCUGGAGGAGCGAAAGCGUGGGGAGCAAACAGG